ACACUGGCCUUGANAUCCACGGAACUUUNCCAGAGAUGGAUUGGUGCCUUCGGGAACCGUGAGANCAGGUGNUGCAUGGCUGUNGUNAGCUCGUGUCGUGAGAUGUUGGGUUAAGUCCCGCAACGAGCGCAACCCUUGUCCUUAGUUGCCAGCANGUNAUGGUGGGAACUUUAAGGAGACCGCCGGUGACAAACCGGAGGAAGGUGGGGAUGACGUNAAGUNAUNAUGGCCCUUACGGACCAGGGNUACACACGUACUACAAUGGUAGGGACACGAGGGCUGCAACACCCGNGAGGGCAGAGCCAAUCCCAGAAACCCUAUNUCAGUCCGGAUNGGAGUUUGCAAANUUGAGCUCCGUGAAGUNGGAGAUCGGNUAGUAA
rnacentral:rRNA from 1 species